AACUUGUAGCAAUGGAUCUCUUGGUUCUGGCAACGAUGAAGAACGCAGCGAAAUGCGAUAAGUAAUGUGAAUUGCAGAAUUCAGUGAAUCAUCGAAUCUUUGAACGCACAUUGCGCCCUCUGGUAUUCCGGAGGGCAUGCCUGUUCGAGCGUCAUUUCAACCCUCAAGCAUUGCUUGGUGUUGGGGCACCGCCUGUAAAAGGGCGGGCCCUGAAAUCUAGUGGCGAGCUCGCCAGGACCCCGAGCGUAGUAAUUAUAUUUCGUUCUGGAAGGCCCUGGCGGUGCCCUGCCGUUAAACCCCCAACUUCUGAAAAUUUGACCUCGGAUCAGGUAGGAAUACCCGCUGAACUUAAGCAUAUCAAUAAGCGGAGGCU
rnacentral:misc_RNA from 1 species